GUGUUGAUGUUCUAACGUCGACCCCUUAUCGGGGUUGCGGACAGUGCCUGGUGGGUAGUUUGACUGGGGCGGUCUCCUCCCAAAGAGUAACGGAGGAGCACGAAGGUGGGCUAAUCACGGUUGGACAUCGUGAGGUUAGUGCAAUGGCAUAAGCCCGCUUGACUGCGAGAAUGACAAUUCGAGCAGGUGCGAAAGCAGGUCAUAGUGAUCCGGUGG
rnacentral:rRNA from 1 species